rnacentral:tRNA from 1 species
AGUUAAUUACUAAGACAGUAUUAUGUUUUGAAAGCAUAAUUAAGAGGUUACAUUCCUCUAUUAACUU